rnacentral:misc_RNA from 1 species
GUUUGCUAGAAAAUUUAUUCUUCACAAUAUCAGGAGAUAGAGACAUGUAAUUGUUUGUGGGAUGAAAAGUGACAUAAAUGGAAAUCUCAAAUUCAAGUCUCUUCCCUUGCUAGCUCCUGGCCACGCUGAUCCAUCACAAUUGGCAAGAGGCAAAAGGAAGAUAAAAUUUUGCAGUACUGAAGAGUUGAAGAACAUGCAAGUAGGAUAGAGAAACAAGUAAAAUUUGUGGCAGAAAGUUGCCUUGUUUAUUGUUAACAAUCUCAGUGCACAAAGCACACGAAGGCCCAAGAAAGAAUUGCUCACAAUAAAUAGAGAGAUGCCCUAAUCGAAACAACAAAGGCUGUACGCUAUACAUACAAUAAUAAAUU